rnacentral:rRNA from 1 species
CCCGCUGAACUUAAGCAUAUCAAUAAGCGGAGGAAAAGAAACUAACAAGGAUUCCCCUAGUAACGGCGAGUGAAGCGGGAAGAGCUCAAAUUUAAAAUCUGGCGGUUUUGCCGUCCGAGUUGUAAUCUGGAGAAGUGUUUUCCGCGUCGGACCGUGUACAAGUCUCUUGGAACAGAGCGUCGUAGAGGGUGAGAAUCCCGUCUUUGACACGGACUACCGAUGCUAUGUGAUGCACUCUCGAAGAGUCGAGUUGUUUGGGAAUGCAGCUCAAAAUGGGUGGUAAAUUCCAUCUAAAGCUAAAUAUUGGCGAGAGACCGAUAGCGAACAAGUACCGUGAGGGAAAGAUGAAAAGCACUUUGGAAAGAGAGUUAAACAGUACGUGAAAUUGUUGAAAGGGAAACGCUUGAAGUCAGUCGCGUCUUCCGAGAUUCAGCCUUGCUUCUGCUUGGUGUACUUCUCGGUCGACGGGUCAACAUCAGUUUUGCUCGGUGGAUAAAGGCGGGAGAAAUGUGGCAUCGUUCGCGAUGUGUUAUAGUCUCUCCGUUGCAUACACCGAGCGGGACUGAGGAACUCAGCACGCCUUCUCGGAGGUCGGGGUUCGCCCACGUUCGUGCUUAGGAUGUUGACAUAAUGGCUUUAAACGACCCGUCUUGAAACACGG